GGAAAGAAUGGUCUGUGGAUUGUAAACCUCUUUUGUUAGGGAAGAUAAUGACGGUACCUAACGAAUAAGCAUCGGCUAACUCCGUGCCAGCAGCCGCGGUAAGACGGAGGAUGCAAGCGUUAUCCGGAAUUAUUGGGCGUAAAGCGUACGUAGGCGGUUUUAUAAGUCUGUUGUCAAAGCCCGAGGCUUAACCUUGGAAAGGCAAUGGAAACUGUAAGACUAAAGAGAGAUAGGGGCAGGAGGAAUUCCAGGUGUAGCGGUGAAAUGCGUAGAUAUCUGGAAGAACACCAGUGGCGAAAGCGUCCUGCUGGAUCUCAACUGACGCUGAAGUACGAAAGCUAGGGGAGCGAAUGGGAUUAGAUACCCCAGNUAGU
rnacentral:rRNA from 1 species